ncrna:Salmonella bongori NCTC 12419 algC RNA
ACGAUUUUGGCCAUUUACGGUCAGGGCCGACUGUUGCCUGAAAAAGGGUAA